rnacentral:tRNA from 1 species
GCGUCGUUAGCUCAAUUGGUUAGAGCACUCGCCUUUUAAGCGAUAGGUUGAAAGUUCAAGUCUUUCACGAUGCA